UUUAGGGAGCGGUAAGGUUUCCGUACGCGGGGUGUCUGAUGUGCGUGAGUGGCCGAGUUUAGCGUGCCAGGAUGCGUGGAAGGCGAGUGAGUGUGUGUGCGUGCAAGUCCAGAGUGCGUGCGUGCAAGGCGAGCGCGUGCCCGCGUGCCGAGCCGGCCCUUCCUGAGCCCCUCCCCCUACACUCUGAUCUUAUUUGAUCGGGCCGCGCUCCCGCCUCGCCGGCCCGGCCCGAGAUGAGAAGCUCCCCUCCCGCGAAGCCCCGGCCGCCCUUGGCCCGGGCGCUGUGCGGCGAGGCCUGUUCGAACAGGCGGCGGCAGCCCCCGGGCUCUCCGAGCCAGCCCUUCCGCGGGCCGGCCCGGGCCGGGCGCUCAGAAAUGAUGAGUUGAUCAGAUAGAUGAGGCGGGGCUGGUCCCUGCCCUUGAGUAUCGAGGCGAUUCUGAUCUGA
rnacentral:snoRNA from 1 species